CCUACGGGUGGCAGCAGUGAGGAAUAUUGGUCAAUGGCCGUAAGGCUGAACCAGCCAAGUAGCGUGAGGGAAGACUGCCCUAUGGGUUGUAAACCUCUUUUAUGCGGGGAUAAAGGUGUCUACGUGUGGAUGUUUGCAGGUACCGUAUGAAUAAGGACCGGCUAAUUCCGUGCCAGCAGCCGCGGUAAUACGGAAGGUCCGGGCGUUAUCCGGAUUUAUUGGGGUUAAAGGGAGCGUAGGCGGGUCUUUAAGUGUGCCGGGAAAUUUUGGGGCUCAACCAGGAGAGUGCGGCGGGUACUGGAGACCUUGAGGGCGCGGGAGGUAGGCGGAAUGCGUGGUGUAGCGGUGAAAUGCUUAGAUAUCACGAAGAACCCCGAUUGCGAAGGCAGCCUACCG
rnacentral:rRNA from 1 species